ensembl:snRNA U6 U6 spliceosomal RNA
GUUCUUGCUUCGGCAGCACAUAUACUAAAAUAGGAAUGAUACAGAGAAGAUUAGCAUGGCCCCUGUGCAAGGAUGACAUGCAGAUUUGUGAUGCAUUCCUUAUUUUU